CGUAGGUGAACCUGCGGAGGGAUCAUUACCGAGUUCAUGCCCUUACGGGUAGACCUCCCACCCUAUGUUAUAUUACCUUUGUUGCUUUGGCGGGCCGCCCGGCUUCGGCCAGGCUACCGGCUCCAGCUGGUAAGCGCUCGCCAGAGGACCCUCAACUCUGAAUAUCAGUGUCGUCCGAGUACUAUAAAAUAGUUAAAACUUUCAACAACGGAUCUCUUGGUUCUGGCAUCGAUGAAGAACGCAGCGAAAUGCGAUAAGUAAUGUGAAUUGCAGAAUUCAGUGAAUCAUCGAAUCUUUGAACGCACAUUGCGCCCCUUGGUAUUCCGAGGGGCAUGCCUGUUCGAGCGUCAUUACAACCCUCAAGCACUGCUUGGUAUUGGGCUCCGCUGGCUCCAGCGGGCCUUAAAAUCAGUGGCGGCGCCGUUUGGGCUCUGAGCGUAGUAAAUAUCCUCGCUAUAGAGACCAGGCGGUUCUUGUCAUCAACCCCCAACUUUCUAAGUUUGACCUCGGAUCAGGUAG
rnacentral:rRNA from 1 species